rnacentral:rRNA from 1 species
UACAGAGGGGGCAAGCGUUGUUCGGAAUUACUGGGCGUAAAGGGCGCGUAGGCGGCCACCUAAGUCAGACGUGAAAUCCCUCGGCUCAACCGGGGAACUGCGUCUGAGACUGGGCGGCUUGAAUCCGGGAGAGGGAUGUGGAAUUCCAGGUGUAGCGGUGAAAUGCGUAGAUAUCUGGAGGAACACCGGUGGCGAAGGCGGAUCUCUGGACAGUUACUGACACUGAGGCACGAAGGCCAGGGGAGCAAACGGG